rnacentral:rRNA from 1 species
GACGAACGCUGGCGGCGUGCUUAACACAUGCAAGUCGAACGAGUGGCGCACGGGUGAGUAAUACGUGAGUACCCUGCCCUCUUUUUGGGAUAAGCCUUGGAAACGGGGUCUAAUACCGGAUAGAGGUGGAUGGGCUCGCGGCCUAUCAGCUUGUUGGUGGGGUGAUGGCCUACCAAGGCGGUGACGGGUGGCCGGCCUGAGAGGGGGACCGGCCACGUUGGGACGGAGAGACGGCCCAGAUUCGGACGGGGGGGAGAAGUGGGGGAAAGUGCAGAAUGGGCGACAGCCUAAUGCAGCGACGCCGAGUGGGGGAUGAAGGCGUUCGGUUUGGAAAGCUAGUUAGCUAUCGAACGGGUAGGUGGCGAAGAAGCGACGGCUAACUACGUGCCAGCAGCCGCGGUAAUAC